UCCCGUGUGGCUCAGUUGGUAGAGCAUGGUGUUUACAACGCAAGAGUUGUGGGUUCGAUUCCCACGGGGGGAC
rnacentral:tRNA from 1 species